UACGGAGGGUGCAAACGUUGCUCGGAAUCAUUGGGCGUAAAGCGCACGUAGGCGGACUGUUAAGUCGGAUGUGAAAUCCCUCAGCUUAACUGAGGAAGUGCACUCGAAACUGGCAGUCUUGAGUAUGGAAGAGGGUCGCGGAAUUCCUGGUGUAGCGGUGAAAUGCGCAGAUAUCAGGAGGAACACCAGCGGCGAAGGCGGCGCUCUGGGCCGGUACUGACACUGAGGAGCGAAAGCGUGGGUAGCAAACAGG
rnacentral:rRNA from 1 species